GCUUUCUCCACAUAAUUCAUAUGCACACUGGCUUCGUUCACUGCCAGCUAAAUGUUAAACUGAAACCUCACUUACCUUUAAAUGCUACUCCACUACUCACAGUCAUAAAUAUUUCAUACUUAAAACUACAUGAAACUCUUUUAGGUUGGAUAAUUCUACAUUGCUGCUGGUCCCAAGAGUGCUGUUCUCCACCCAUGUAGUCUGAAGUGUUAUGUAGAAUUGGGCAUCAUCUGGAUGGACCUGCCUGUUUUCACACCUGCCUGGUGGACUGAUCUGAGGACAGAGAACAGAGUGAAAUAUAUGCAGUUCAAUAGUGUAGCCACUGUCAGAAAAUAUACGAAUGGUGCAAAGAUAGACAAGAGCAUCCCAAUUUACUACAGGAUACUGCUUCAGUCGACAACAAAUGUUCUCAAAUUAAUUUAGAUAUGUAAUACAGUGACUCUAGUCUGUACCAAUCCUGCACCAUAUCAGCAUUAAUCCACUUUAAAAUGAAGACAGGGUGACACUGAUCAUUUCAAGUCUGUUAAGAAAUGAAUGAAACCUCUUUGUCAUCAAAUUGUCAAAAGAGCAAAAAAAGUACCACAAUGACUACGUUUAUUCAACAUAAUUGGAAUAGACAUACAAGUCAAAUAUACAGGGCUGCUAAUGGCUCAGUAAAUAUGGCAAAGAGUAGAAGAGGGGGACUUCUGCCGGGUCCGGCCUUGUGAUGACAGCACAGUAAAAGGGUACCUUACUUAGCCCCAGUCAUUGAUUCAGAGUACAAUAAAUGUGUAUUAAUAUAUGGAAAUUUGUUAUUGUAACUAAACAGUGGGUUUAAAAUGCAAAGUCAACAAAACCGCAAAGGAAACAGUAAAAUAACUGAUGCCUUCAAGCCUAGUCAAGCGGCAAAUGCUAACCAGGAUGUUUUCAGCAACUCAACAACCUCUGAAAUACUCAACGAAAUGUGAGGCAUGAGGAAGGAAAUAAACGAGACAUUUGGAAAACUGGGAGAAUCGAGCAAGCAAAUAAAUGAAGGGAUAAAAAUACUUGAAAAACAAAUGGACGAAUCCAAAGAAAGGUUGCUGAAACAACAGAUUUUACACAAAGCUCGGGCUAUUAAGGAUUUGCAGUUGAAUGGAAAACGCAUCGCACGGGAUCGUGAUUAUUACAGUACUGGAAGUUAGUUACAAACAAUGUAUAAGAAAGAAUGUAAUAUCAAGUUCAAGUCAGAGAUACUGAAAGUUUAGCUUGAAGAUGGAGAAGUGAGCUACAAUUCUGCUUGUGAGGCAGCGGAAAAUCUUCAACAUCUAGGGAUCUGAAUGAAACUUUCAGAGGACGAGAUGCGAGAAAAAGACUUAUGCAAGCUGAAUUUAUAGCAGCGGAAAUGCAAGGACAAUUUUCAACAGCUCUGGUUGGAGAUAUUGAAUCUCUCACAAAAUGACUGAUUAAAAUAAUCUCAGGCAAGUAAGUUGAACAGAAUGAUGAAAAUGAGAAUGAG
ensembl:lncRNA